AUUGAACGCUGGCGGCAUGCUUUACACAUGCAAGUCGAACGGUAACAGGGUGCUUGCACCGCUGACGAGUGGCGAACGGGUGAGUAAUGCGUCGGAACGUGCCGAGUAGUGGGGGCUGACGCAGCGAAAGUUGUGCUAAUACCGCAUACGUACUGAGGUAGAAAGUGGGGGACCUUCGGGCCUCACGCUAUUCGAGCGGCCGACGUCUGAUUAGCUAGUAGGUGAGGUAAAGGCUCACCUAGGCGACGAUCAGUAGCGGGUCUGAGAGGAUGAUCCGCCACACUGGGACUGAGACACGGCCCAGACUCCUACGGGAGGCAGCAGUGGGGAAUUUUGGACAAUGGGCGAAAGCCUGAUCCAGCCAUGCCGCGUGUCUGAAGAAGGCCUUCGGGUUGUAAAGGACUUUUGUCAGGGAGGAAAUCCCUAGUGCUAAUAACACUGGGGGAUGACAGUACCUGAAGAAUAAGCACCGGCUAACUACGUGCCAGCAGCCGCCGUAA
rnacentral:rRNA from 1 species